rnacentral:rRNA from 1 species
GACGAACGCUGGCGGCGUGCUUAACACAUGCAAGUCGAACGGAAAGGCCCUGCUUUUGUGGGGUGCUCGAGUGGCGAACGGGUGAGUAACACGUGAGUAACCUGCCCUUGACUUUGGGAUAACUUCAGGAAACUGGGGCUAAUACCGGAUAGGAGCUCCUGCUGCAUGGUGGGGGUUGGAAAGUUUCGGCGGUUGGGGAUGGACUCGCGGCUUAUCAGCUUGUUGGUGGGGUAGUGGCUUACCAAGGCUUUGACGGGUAGCCGGCCUGAGAGGGUGACCGGCCACAUUGGGACUGAGAUACGGCCCAGACUCCUACGGGAGGCAGCAGCGGGGAAUAUUGCACAAUGGGCGGAAGCCUGAUGCAGCAACGCCGCGUGCGGGAUGACGGCCUUCGGGUUGUAAACCGCUUUCGCCUGUGACGAAGCGUGAGUGACGGUAAUGGGUAAAGAAGCACCGGCUAACUACGUGCCAGCAGCCACGGUGAUACGUAGGGUGCGAGCGUUGUCCGGAUUUAUUGGGCGUAAAGGGCUCGUAGGUGGUUGAUCGCGUCGGAAGUGUAAUCUUGGGGCUUAACCCUGAGCGUGCUUUCGAUACGGGUUGACUUGAGGAAGGUAGGGGAGAAUGGAAUUCCUGGUGGAGCGGUGGAAUGCGCAGAUAUCAGGAGGAACACCAGUGGCGAAGGCGGUUCUCUGGGCCUUUCCUGACGCUGAGGAGCGAAAGCGUGGGGAGCGAACAGGCUUAGAUACCCUGGUAGCCCACGCUGUAAACGGUGGGUACUAGGUGUGGGGUCCAUUCCACGGGUUCCGUGCCGUAGCUAACGCUUUAAGUACCCCGCCUGGGGAGUACGGCCGCAAGGCUAAAACUCAAAGGAAUUGACGGGGCCCCGCACAAGCGGCGGAGCAUGCGGAUUAAUUCGAUGCAACGCGUAGAACCUUACCUGGGUUUGACAUGGAUCGGGAGCGCUCAGAGAUGGGUGUGCCUCUUUUGGGGUCGGUUCACAGGUGGUGCAUGGCUGUCGUCAGCUCGUGUCGUGAGAUGUUGGGUUAAGUCCCGCAACGAGCGCAACCCUUGUUCACUGUUGCCAGCACGUUAUGGUGGGGACUCAGUGGAGACCGCCGGGGUCAACUCGGAGGAAGGUGGGGAUGACGUCAAGUCAUCAUGCCCCUUAUGUCCAGGGCUUCACGCAUGCUACAAUGGCUGGUACAGAGAGUGGCGAGCCUGUGAGGGUGAGCGAAUCUCGGAAAGCCGGUCUCAGUUCGGAUUGGGGUCUGCAACUCGACCUCAUGAAGUCGGAGUCGCUAGUAAUCGCAGAUCAGCAACGCUGCGGUGAAUACGUUCCCGGGGCU